CCUACGGGAGGCAGCAGUGGGGAAUCUUGGACAAUGGGGGGAACCCUGAUCCAGCGACGCCGCGUGAGUGAAGAAGUAUUUCGGUACGUAAAGCUCUAUCAGCAGGGAAGAAAGAAAUGACGGUACCUGACUAAGAAGCCCCGGCUAACUACGUGCCAGCAGCCGCGGUAAUACGUAGGGGGCAAGCGUUAUCCGGAUUUACUGGGUGUAAAGGGAGCGUAGACGGCGAUGCAAGUCUGAAGUGAAAGGCGGUGGCCCAACCCCCGGACUGCUUUGGAAACUGUAUGGCUGGAGUGCAGGAGAGGUAAGUGGAAUUCCUAGUGUAGCGGUGAAAUGCGUAGAUAUUAGGAGGAACACCAGUGGCGAAGGCGGCUUACUGGACUGUAACUGACGUUGAGGCUCGAAAGCGUGGGGAGCAAACAGGAUUAGAUACCCCAGUAGUC
rnacentral:rRNA from 1 species